AAGCCAAAAAAAUUCAUGAAUGCCAUAUACUCUAUAGCUCCAGUCUGGGGAGGGGAAGACCUGUGCCACAUCAGCCUGGCUGGACUAUCCCCUGGGACUCGUGGGAUUGUCUCCUACCAUAGAUCUCAAAUAGCACAUGGGCAGUCAUGCCUUAGUCAGAAGAACCAACUUAAGACUGACACUUUUCCAUCAUGUGAGUACUUCUUUACAUCUUCUGUCUCCACCACAUUUGGAGUUUUGCUGUCUUUACUCAAGAGAAAAUUUGCCUCACUCCACGUGUCCAAAAAGAAACAAGCAGAGUGAAGAAACAUAAACUGGUACAAAAAAAAUUUGAGUGUUUCUUAUUUUCAAAACAAAAUAUUUUGAUCUCUAGCUUUUUAUCUUU
rnacentral:lncRNA from 1 species